GAUGAACGCUGGCGGCGUGCCUAAUACAUGCAAGUCGAGCGAACAGACGAGGAGCUUGCUCCUCUGACGUUAGCGGCGGACGGGUGAGUAACACGUGGAUAACCUACCUAUAAGACUGGGAUAACUUCGGGAAACCGGAGCUAAUACCGGAUAAUAUAUUGAACCGCAUGGUUCAAUAGUGAAAGACGGUUUUGCUGUCACUUAUAGAUGGAUACGCGCCGCAUUAGCUAGUUGGUAAGGUAACGGCUUACCAAGGCAACGAUGCGUAGCCGACCUGAGAGGGUGGUCGGCCACACUAGAACUGAGACACGGUCCACACUCCUACGGGAGGCAGCAGUAGGGAAUCUUCCGCAAUGGGCGAAAGCAUGACGGAGCAACGCAGCGUGAGUGAUGAAGGUCUUCGGAUCGUAAAACUCUGUUAUUAGGGAAGAACAAAUGUGUAAGUAACUAUGCACGUAUUGACGGUACCUAAUCAGAAAGCCACGGCUAACUACGUG
rnacentral:rRNA from 1 species